GAUCAUGGCUCAGGAUGAACGCUGGCGGCGUGCUUAACACAUGCAAGUCGAGCGAAGCACUUAGGAAAGAUUCUUCGGAUGAUUUCCUAUUUGACUGAGCGGCGGACGGGUGAGUAACGCGUGGGUAACCUGCCUCAUACAGGGGGAUAACAGUUAGAAAUGACUGCUAAUACCGCAUAAGACCACCAGCACCGCAUGGUGCNGGGGUAAAAACGUAACCGUCGGUAGUGAGAAUGGACCCGGCCCGG
rnacentral:rRNA from 1 species